CCAGAGAUGGAUUGGUGCCUUCGGGAACUCUGAGACAGGUGCUGCAUGGCUGUCGUCAGCUCGUGUUGUGAAAUGUUGGGUUAAGUCCCGCAACGAGCGCAACCCUUAUCCUUUGUUGCCAGCGGUUAGGCCGGGAACUCAAAGGAGACUGCCAGUGAUAAACUGGAGGAAGGUGGGGAUGACGUCAAGUCAUCAUGGCCCUUACGAGUAGGGCUACACACGUGCUACAAUGGCGCAUACAAAGAGAAGCGACCUCGCGAGAGCAAGCGGACCUCAUAAAGUGCGUCGUAGUCCGGAUUGGAGUCUGCAACUCGACUCCAUGAAGUCGGAAUCGCUAGUAAUCGUAGAUCAGAAUGCUACGGUGAAUACGUUCCCGGGCCUUGUACACACCGCCCGUCACACCAUGGGAGUGGGUUGCAAAAGAAGUAGGUAGCUUAACCUUCGGGAGGGCGCUUACCACUUUGUGAUUCAUGACUGGGGUGAAGUCGUAACAAGGUAACCGUAGGGGAACCUGCGGUUGGAUCACCUCCUU
rnacentral:rRNA from 2 species